GUCUGAUGUGGGCCUAGGAGCGGUUCUUUCUCAAGUACACAGAGGAGAAGACAUCUCAUUAUGUACCUGAGCAAAAAGCUGAAUCCCCAUGAACAGAGAUACUCGGUGGUUGAGAAAGAAUGUUUGGCCAUAAGAUGGGCACUAGAAACACUUAAGUAUUAUCUAUUGGGGAGAAGGUUCAAACUUGUCACAGAUCAUGCGCCCUUGACGUGGAUGAGACAAAACAAGGAAGCAAAUGCCAGAGUAACU